AGAGCCAUUAAUCAAAUUUUCUUGCUGGACGAGAUCUAAUACCUAGUCCCACAGCUGUAAAUAAAGGUGGCUAUUUAACUUGUUUGGGCCGUUCCAAAGCUUAUGCAACGUGUAACCCGUCCGCUUGAAAAAGCUGCACUUUAAAACAGGAAUAGCAACAACAAAAAAAGAGGCACACCUACAAAAUAUGCUAAAAGCUUUACUUGGAAAGUAAGGAGUUUCUAACUACUUUCAGAGGCUGACUUCGUCUUUUUCCCACUACAGAACUGUUAAAGAGCACACUAAACAGAAAGAGAGAGCACAAGCAGAGGAGGGGCCGAGGGAGAGGGAGAGAGAGAAUCUGAAAAAGGCUCCAUGCUCAGCCCAGAGCCCAAUACCGGGCUCCAUCUCACAACCCUGAGAUCAUGACCUGAGUUGAAAUCAAGAUUCAGAUGCUUAACUGACUGAGCCACCCAGGGUCAAUCUCUGAGGAAGCCAACUGCCAUGUCAUGAGUACACUCAAGUAACUGUGGAGAGGCCCUUGAGGCAAGAAAAAACGGCAUCUUGCCAACAGUCUUGUGUCUGCGCUAACUAUAAGACCGAUCCUCCAGCCCUAAUCAAGUCUUCAGAGGACUGCAGCCUCACAAAAGACCCUGUGCUAGAACCAGCAAUCAGCUUCUUCUCCAAAGCCUAUAUGUAUCAGGAAUUUAAGUUAAAAAUUUAUAGCGCCACAGAAACGAACCUGAUCCUACUCUACUACCUAAAAGGAAACAUACAUCAGGACAGACUGAAAUACCAAAAUUUCUCAGAAGACAAAAAGGGAAGAAGACUCUGACAGACUGCUACAAAGAUGCUUCUGAUCUAAGAAAAAAGGAAUCAUACUGCUCCACCAAUAUUGACUCAAAGAAACUCUUAAUCUGUUACAGAAUGAGAAUACUGUCUUUAUUUUUGAAUUAAAAAGUUACCCUCAUAUACUAGCCUAUGGACUUCUAUAAAGAGAGAGAGCACAAGCAGAGGGAGCAGCAGAAGCAGAGGCAGAAGCAGGCUCCCUGCCAAGCAAGGAGCCCGACGUGGGACUCGAUCCCAGGACUCCAGGAUCACGACCUGAGCCAAAGGCAGAUGCUUAACUGACUGAGCCACCCAGGCGUCCCCUGUUGUCGUAUUUUAAUAAUGUUUACUAUGACGUUUAAAUUCCUUAUGGGUCAAGGGGCACCUGGUUGGCUCAGUCCAAAGAGCAUGCAGCUCUUGAUCUCAGCAUUGUAAGUUCAAGCCCCAUGU